ensembl:lncRNA
GUUCAAUUUACAAAUUUACAAUUAACCCAGUAAAGGUCCUCCAGGCCAUACCCACCCAAACUACAGGGUAUUAGACCCCUGUCUUGCCGGCGGACAUCCAGGCGACGUCGAUGACGGCUUCAGAAGGGACACAUGGAACACUGGUGGAUCCUCAGGGAUUGCAAGAGCAAUCACAAUUUAACUGCCCUGAUUGUUGGAGGGGAGCCUCAGCCAGUGAAACAGUGCCAUGGAGGGGGAGGGAGAAAAGGAUGAUGGAGGGACCACACAUGUCUUCAUGG